rnacentral:rRNA from 2 species
GACGAACGCUGGCGGCGUGCUUAACACAUGCAAGUCGAACGAAAAGAGGGAAAGAGCUUGCUCUUUCCGGAAUUGAGUGGCAAACGGGUGAGUAACACGUAAACAACCUGCCUUCAGGAUGGGGACAACAGACGGAAACGACUGCUAAUACCGAAUAAGUUCCAAGAGCCGCAUGGCCCAUGGAAGAAAAGGUGGCCUCUACCUGUAAGCUAUCGCCUGAAGAGGGGUUUGCGUCUGAUUAGCUGGUUGGAGGGGUAACGGCCCACCAAGGCGACGAUCAGUAGCCGGUCUGAGAGGAUGAACGGCCACACUGGAACUGAGACACGGUCCAGACUCCUACGGGAGGCAGCAGUGGGGAAUCUUCCGCAAUGGGCGAAAGCCUGACGGAGCAACGCCGCGUGAGUGAUGACGGCCUUCGGGUUGUAAAACUCUGUGAUCCGGGACGAAAAGGCAGAGUGCGAAGAACAAACUGCAUUGACGGUACCGGAA